UACGGAGGGUGCGAGCGUUGUCCGGAAUCACUGGGCGUAAAGGGCGCGUAGGCGGCCCGACAAGGCUGUGGUGAAAGUCCGGGGCUCAACCCCGGAUCGGCCGUGGCGACUGUGGGGCUGGAGCACUGUAGAGGCGAGCGGAAUUCCGGGAGUAGCGGUGGAAUGCGUAGAGAUCCGGAAGAACACCGGUGGCGAAGGCGGCUCGCUGGGCAGUAGCUGACGCUGAGGCGCGACAGCGUGGGGAGCAAACAGG
rnacentral:rRNA from 1 species